rnacentral:sRNA from 1 species
UAGAGGGAGUUUGCUGUUUCUGCCGAUGAUCCAGUCGAGCUUUUUGAUCCGGGCCCUUGUUUUAGUAUGGCAUGACGGAUUUUUUGGCCAGGAGUUGCCCGGCUAACCUUGGAGCUGGAGUGUGUUGCUGCGCAGACCAUGAUAAUGCAUCAGCCAGGAGCCGCUCCAUAUUUUCGUUGGCUUGUUUUGGACACAGGGCAGAUACGAGG